rnacentral:rRNA from 1 species
GACGAACGCUGGCGGCGUGCCUAACACAUGCAAGUCGAGCGGGGUUGAAGCGAGAGGUAACUCGAACUUCUACCUAGCGGCGGACGGGUGAGUAACGCGUGGGCAACCUGCCUCAAGGUCUGGGAUAACAGCCCGAAAGGGCUGCUAAUACCGGGUAUGCUUGUGGCCUCGCAUGGGGCUAUGAGCAAAGGGGAAACCCGCCUUGAGAUGGGCCCGCGUCCCAUCAGCUAGUUGGUGAGGUAACAGCUCACCAAGGCGACGACGGGUAGCCGGCCUGAGAGGGUGACCGGCCACACUGGGACUGAGACACGGCCCAGACUCCUACGGGGGGCAGCAGUGGGGGAUCUUGCACAAUGGGCGAAAGCCUGAUGCAGCGACGCCGCGUGAGCGAAGAAGGCCUUCGGGUUGUAAGACUCUGUCUGGAGGGACGGAAGGAAGUAGACGGUACCGUCCGGACGGGAAGCCGACGGCCUAACUAACGUGCCAGCAGCCGCGGUAACUCUCGUCUCU